GAUUAACGCUGGCGGCGUGCAUAACACAUGCAAGUCGAACGAUGAAACUCAUUAGAUUUCUUCUGAAUGAAAAUGAAUGGAUUAGUGGCGAACGGGUGAGUAACGCGUGAGUAACCUGCCUUACACAAGUGGAUAGCCUCUGGAAACGGAGAAUAAUACCCUAUGAAACCAGACAAUCGCAUGUUAAUCUGGUCAAAAUGUUUAGUGGUGUAAGAUGGACUUGCGUAUGAUUAGCUAGUUGGUGAGAUAAAAGCUCACCAAGGCAACGAUCAGUAGCCGGAUUGAGAGAGUGGACGGCAACAUUGGGACUGAGACACGGCCCAGACUCCUACGGGAGGGAGCAGUGGGGAAUUAUGCACAAUGGGGGAAACACUGAGGAAGCGACGCCGCGUGAUUUAGAAGGCCUUAGGGUUGUAAAAAUCUUUUGUAUAGGAAGAAAAUGACAGUACUAUACGAAUAAGGUCCGGCUAAUUACGUG
rnacentral:rRNA from 1 species